AGUGAACGCUGGCGGUAGGCCUAACACAUGCAAGUCGAACGGCAGCACAGUAAGAGCUUGCUCUUACGGGUGGCGAGUGGCGGACGGGUGAGGAAUACAUCGGAAUCUACUUUUUCGUGGGGGAUAACGUAGGGAAACUUACGCUAAUACCGCAUACGACCUACGGGUGAAAGCAGGGGAUCUUCGGACCUUGCGCGAUUGAAUGAGCCGAUGUCGGAUUAGCUAGUUGGCGGGGUAAAGGCCCACCAAGGCGACGAUCCGUAGCUGAUCUGAGAGGAUAAUCAGCCACACUGGAACUGAGACACGGUCCAGACUCCUACGGGAGGCAGCAGUGGGGAAUAUUGGACAAUGGGCGCAAGCCUGAUCCAGCCAUACCGCGUGGGUGAAGAAGGCCUUCGGGUUGUAAAGCCCUUUUGUUGGGAAAGAAAAGCAGCAGGUUAAUACCCCGCUGUUCUGACGGUACCCAAAGAAUAAGCACCGGCUAACUUCGUG
rnacentral:rRNA from 1 species